UACGUAGGGCGCGAGCGUUGUCCGGAAUUAUUGGGCGUAAAGGGCUCGUAGGCGGCUUAUUGCGCCUGCUGUGAAAACGCGGGGCUCAACUCCGCGCGUGCAGUGGGUACGGGUAGGCUAGAGUGCAGUAGGGGUGACUGGAAUUCCCGGUGUAGCGGUGGAAUGCGCAGAUAUCGGGAGGAACACCAAUGGCGAAGGCAGGUCACUGGGCUGUUACUGACGCUGAGGAGCGAAAGCAUGGGGAGCGAAC
rnacentral:rRNA from 1 species